rnacentral:misc_RNA from 1 species
GUGAAUCAUCGAAUUUUUGAACGCAAAUUGCGCCUUUUUCGGAAGGCAUGUCUGUUUGAGGGCACCAUUUAACAAAUAAUCUACAGCGUUUUUUGUUGCAUCCGUUGAUGAGCUUUCCAAGAAUUUUAAAUUAUUGGUGGCGCAUAAUGAAGAGCGUGAAAGUUUUGUUUAGUUCGAGUUUAUU